AUAAAAUAUAUACAUUUUUUCGUUCAAAAAUAUCUUUUUGUUUGCACUUAAUAUAACAUCACACAUCUAUUUGCCUAAACCAAAAUAUAUUGUGUUUUGGCAUUGUAUUUUGACAACAAAUUUAAAAUUUAUCCAAUAACGUAUGCGUUUUUCGUGAUAUACAUUAAAUAAAACCAAGCACAUGAGUUUAUGUUGAAUGGAUUUUGAUAUUUUGGCAAUAUUUUAAUUUGCAUAUAAAUCUCUUUGGUUAUAUGCUGGUACAUUGGUGAAAUGGUUCUCAUACAAUCAUAAAUCAUAUGAUACCAUUUCCAGAUAUUCACGAUAAUAUUUCGAAACCAAAAGACUUUACUUUAUAUAUGUAUAUGUUUCACUACAUUAUCUUAAGAUCAAUUUGUCGCAGCCAAGCAAUUUACAUUAAAUAACUUUUUAUCAACAAAUAUCACCCAAUAACACCACCAUGAGUAUAAUGACAACGUAUAAUCAUAUCAUAUGCAAUACUGUACCAAAUAUUGCACAUAAUAUAGAUGGACAUCAACUGUC
rnacentral:lncRNA from 1 species